UGGUUCUGGCAUCGAUGAAGAACGCAGCGAAAUGCGAUAAGUAAUGUGAAUUGCAGAAUUCAGUGAAUCAUCGAAUCUUUGAACGCACAUUGCGCCCAUUAGUAUUCUAGUGGGCAUGCCUAUUCGAGCGUCAUUUCAACCCUUAAGCCCUUGUUGCUUAACGUUGGGAGCCUGCGUCUUAGGGCGCAACUCCCUAAAGUUAGUGGCGGAGUUGGAGCACACUCUGAGCGUAGUAAUUCUGUUCUCGUUUCUGUGGUGGCUUUGGCGACCUGCCGUAAAAACCCCCUAUACUUCUAGUGGUUGACCUCGGAUUAGGUAGGAAUACCCGCUGA
rnacentral:misc_RNA from 1 species